AGCGUUGACACGGACUUUCCUCAUCUCUGGGCUUGUUAUAGGUCUUGAUUUGCUUCUCAAGGUAACCAUUGUGUUCAUUAACUGUGAUAUGUUACUUUUCAGAUCAUGUUGAUGAGAUAUAUGCCAAACGUGUACUGUCUGGUUAGCUCUUGCGGCAAACGGCGCUCACUUUGGCUUAUGGUAAAACACUUAUCCUAUAUAAAUAUCAUCUAGUCAGACUUCUCUUGUUUCUUUAUGUAAGGAAAUAACAUUUGAAAAAUGCUGGGAGGCUGUAUGGGAUCACAAGUGUUUGUUACCACUCCUAUCUUCCUCUUCUCUAUGUUACUUUCCUAGCAGACUUCUUCCAUGAGGAAGAUGUGAACUUGGAGAAUGUCUACUAUUCAGAGAUGAAAGAUGCUGGAUUCUUUGACGCUGAUUGGGAAUAAUCAUAACCUGUAUAUACAAUGUGAAUAGGAUUGUCUAUAAAUUGUCAUCUUAGGGACUACUCUUUGACUUUAUGUAUGUGUUAAUACAAGAUUCCCUAAUCUCGCAUUUGGCAUUUCGAUUUAAGAAAGAACAAGAACAAGCUUUCAUGUGUAAACCAAAAGUUUUCAGUCGACAAAUAGAGAGAGAUCCAUGGCAAACAGAUACUACUUUAAACCAACAGAGUCGCUUGACACAUUAAAAAAAAAGAAAAUGACAGAAA